CGCUGAACAUUCUAGGGGACAAAGGUAAGCAAUCGUCCCUAGUUCUGCGAAUUGGGCGAACCGCUAGAACCCUAGAAAUGGUCAUCUGCAAAUCGGCUACAAUUUCGCAAGAUUCCAAAACAAUACAGUGAUUGCAUUCGUCCCUAGUUCUGCGAAUUGUAUGAACCGCUAGAACCCUAGAAGUGGUCAUCUGCAAAUCGGCUACAAUUUCGCUAAGUGGAACCUUGUUCUUCCAAACAGAUUUCGCAGGUAAGUUUGUAGUUUAAUCUCCAAAAUCUGAAGGUGAUACUAUUCGCCAUUAAUUCUCUUGAACCCUAGUUUCAUCCUGUAUAUUUUCCAUGCUUUUUUUUUUAGUUUUAUUUGUUGCAAUCUACUUCUGCAAGUACAUUUGAUUAUCUCUUAUUCCCCUGUUUUUUGUUUGUUUGUAUUUAAUGAUUUGAUAGUGUGAUCUUCUAUGCUCCAUAGUUUCUGCAGUUCAUGUUAUGUCUUUUUAUGAGUUUUUUUCUUCUAAUAUUAACAUUAAAUACAUUCCUGCAAAUAUACUAUUGCAUUUACAAUCUGCAAAUACAUUGAACUUUACAGUAAGUUACCUUUGCAUUGCAUAAGCCUUGCGAUAUUUGAUCUCGAUAUGGACCCAGCUGUUAUUAGUUGAGCUCUAGCU
rnacentral:lncRNA from 1 species